rnacentral:rRNA from 1 species
AUUGAACGCUGGAGGUAGGCCUAAAACAUGCAAGUCGAACGUGUGGCGGACGGGUGAGUCAUGUCUGGGAAAUUGCCCGAUGGAGGGGGAUAUGUACUGGAAACGGUGACUAAUACCGCCAACCAUAGGAUGUGUCUUGAUGGGAUUAGAUAGUAGGUGGGGUAACGGCACACCUAGGCGACGAUCCCUAGCUGGUUUGAGAGGAUGACCAGCCACACUGGAACUGAGACACGGUCCAGACUCCUACGGGAGGCAGCAGUUGGGAAUAUUGCACAAUGGGCGCAAGCCUGAUGCAGCCAUGCCGCGUGUAUGAAGAAGGCCUUCGGGUUGUAAAGUACUUUCAGCGAGGAGGCGUUACUCGCAGAAGAAGCACCGGCUAACUCCGUGCCAGCCGCCGCGGUAAUAC